rnacentral:rRNA from 1 species
CGGUUUUUAUUUGGUAAAGCGUGCUAGUCGAUCGGCAGCUCAGUGACAGCUUGCUCUCUGGGUGGCGAGUGGCGGACGGGUGAGGAAUACAUCGGAAUCUACUUUUUCGUGGGGGAUAACUUAUGGAAACUUACGCUAAUACCGCAUACGACCUACGGGGGAAAGGAGGGGAUCUUCGGACCUUGCGCGAUUGAAUGAGCCGAUUCCGGAUUAGCUAGUUGGCGGGGUAAAGGCCCACCAAGGCGACAAUCCGUAGCUGGUCUGAAAGGAUGAUCAGCCACACUGGAACUGAGACACGGUCCAAACUCCUACGGGAGGCAGCAGUGGGGAAUAUUGGACAAUGGGCGCAAGCCUGAUCCAGCCAUACCGCGUGGGUGAAGAAGGCCUUCGGGUUGUAAAGCCCUUUUGUUGGGAAAGAAAUCCAUCUGGCUAAUACCCGGUUGGGAUGACGGUACCCAAAGAAUAAGCACCGGCUAACUUCGUGCCAGCAGCCGCGGUAAUACGAAGGGUGCAAGCGUUACUCGGAAUUACUGGGCGUAAAGCGUGCGUAGGUGGUCGUUUAAGUCCGAUGUGAAAGCCCUGGGCUCAACCUGGGAACUGCAGUGGAUACUGGCGCGACUAGAGUGUGGUAAAGGGUAGCGGAAUUCCUGGUGUAGCAGUGAAAUGCGUAGAGAUCAGGAGGAUCAUCCAUGGCGAAGGCAGCUACCUGGACCAUCACUGACACUGAAGCACGAAAGCGUGGGGAGCAAACAGGAUUAGAUACCCUGGUAGUCCACGCCCUAAACGAUGCGAACUGCAUGUUGGGUGCAAUAUUGGCUACGCAGUAUCGAAGCUAACGCGAUUAUGUUCGCCGGCUGGAGUAGUACGGUCACAUUACUGACUACUCAGAAGGUAAUUCGACGGACGCGCCCCGCACCAGCGGAGGAUGAUGUGUUAUUUACUUCGAUGCACGCGAAGCAUCCUCUACCUCGUCCAUGACAUGUCGAAGAACUUUCAGAAGUAUGGAUUGCUGCCCUUCAGGAACUCGAACCACAGGUGCCUGCAUGCUGUCCGUCCAGCCUCGUGUCCGUGAGAAUGGUUGGGUAAAGUCCCGCCAACGAGCGCCACCCUUGUCCUUAAGUGUCAGCCACGAUAACUGCUGUGACUACUACCGAUACCGCACCUGACGACGGGAGGAUGGUGGGCAUGACGUCAGGUCCCUCAUGGCCUUACGUCCAGGCUUACACACGUACUACAAUCGUAGGGGACCGCAGGCCUGCCAAGGCCCGG